ensembl:lncRNA
AUCUGGAUCUUGCUUCUGCCUUUACAUAAUUUAACAUGUAUAUUUAACUCUCUAAUCACAUUCUUUUAUAUAGCAACCUUGUCAUCCCUCUGUUCUCUUGAGUUCACCAUUCAGAAUGCUCUCCCAACUACUGAUCGAACUUUGUACUUUUAGUUUUCUGCUCUACUGCUGCUGCUGCUUUUUCACCCAAACAAGUGAAAGUUUCUCAGUUGUGUCUGACUUUUUGUGACCCCAUGGACUAUACACUCCAUGGCAUUUUCCAGGCCAGAAUACUGGAGUGGGUAGCCGUUCCCUUCUCCAGGGGACCUUCCCAACCCAGGGACUGAACCCAGGUCUCCUGAAUUGCAGGUGGAUUCUUUACCAGAGUUUCGUCUAGUCAAGGCUAUGGUUUUUCCUGUGGUCAUGUAUGGGUGUGAGAGUUGGACUGUGAAGAAGGCUGAGUGCCGAAGAAUUGAUGCUUUUGAACUGUGGUGUUGGAGAAGACUCUUGAGCAUCCCUUGGACUGCAAGGAGAUCCAGCCAGUCCAUUCUGAAGGAGAUCAGCCCUGGGAUUUCUUUGGAAGGAAUGAUGCUAAAGCUGAAACUCCAGUACUUUGGCCACCUCAUGCGAGGAGUUGAUCCAUUGGAAAAGACCCUGAUGCUGGGAGGGAUUGGGGGCAGGAGGAGAAGGGGACGACAGAGGAUGAGAUGGCUGGAUGGCAUCACUGACUCGAUGGAUGUGAGUCUCAGUGAAAUCCGGGAGUUGGUGAUGGACAGGGAGGCCUGGAAUGCUGCGAUUCAUGGGGUCACAGAGUCGGACACGACUGAGUGACUGAUCUGAUAUGAUCUGAUCUGAAGCCUUACCUCUCAUACUUUGUUCUUGUGCUCUUCUGUAUAUGUAAUCACCAUUUAGUGAUGAAGAAAGCUCACAUUUUAUGAAAAACAUAAUUCAACAUGGGCUUCUUUUGUGGCUCAUUGGUAAAAGAAACUACUUGCCAAUGAAAGAGAUGUGGGUUUGAUCCUUGGGUCCGGAAGAUUCCCUGGAGAAGGAAAUGGCAACCCACUCCAGUAUCCAUUAU